rnacentral:rRNA from 1 species
UACGGGAGGCAGCAGUAGGGAAUAUUGCACAAUGGGGGAAACCCUGAUGCAGCAACGCCGCGUGAACGAUGAAGGUCUUCGGAUUGUAAAGUUCUGUCCUUAGGGAAGAAGAAAGUGACGGUACCUGAGGAGGAAGCCCCGGCUAACUACGUGCCAGCAGCCGCGGUAAU